rnacentral:misc_RNA from 1 species
GAUGAAGAACGCAGCGAAAUGCGAUAAGUAAUGCGAAUUGCAGAAUUCCAGUGAGUCAUCGAAUCUUUGAACGCACAUUGCGCCCUUUGGUAUUCCGAAGGGCAUGCCUGUUCGAGCGUCAUUAUCACCCCUCAAGCCCCCGGCUUGGUGUUGGACGGUUUGGUGGAGGCCCCCUCGGGGGCUCCUGCCCCUCCCAAAGACAAUGACGGCGGCCUCGUUGGACCCCCGGUACACUGAGUUCUUCACGGGACACGUAUCGGACACAUGGGUUUACGGGACACGGUCUGCCUCCCCUCAGGGAGAAUCUUUCUAAGGUUGACCUCGGAUCAGGUAGGGACACCCGCUGAACUUAAGCAUAUCAAUAAGCGGAGGA